UCUUAGUGGCGGACGGGUGAGUAACGCGUGGGUAACCUGCCCUGGUACAGGGGGAUAACACUUAGAAAUAGGUGCUAAAACCGCAUAAGCGCACAGUACCGCAUGGUACAGUGUGAAAAACUCCGGUGGUACAGGAUGGACCCGCGUCUGAUUAGCUGGUUGGAGGGGUAACGGCCCACCAAGGCGACGAUCAGUAGCCGGCCUGAGAGGGUGAACGGCCACAUUGGGACUGAGACACGGCCCAAACUCCUACGGAAGGCAGCAG
rnacentral:rRNA from 1 species